UAGGGAAUCUUCCGCAAUGGGCGAAAGCCUGACGGAGCAACGCCGCGUGAGUGAUGAAGGUCUUCGGAUCGUAAAACUCUGUUAUUAGGGAAGAACAAAUGUGUAAGUAACUAUGCACGUCUUGACGGUACCUAAUCAGAAAGCCACGGCUAACUACGUGCCAGCAGCCGCGGUAAUACGUCGGUGGCAAGCGUUAUCCGGAAUUAUUGGGCGUAAAGCGCGCGUAGGCGGUUUUUUAAGUCUGAUGUGAAAGCCCACGGCUCAACCGUGGAGGGUCAUUGGAAACUGGAAAACUUGAGUGCAGAAGAGGAAAGUGGAAUUCCAUGUGUAGCGGUGAAAUGCGCAGAGAUAUGGAGGAACACCAGUGGCGAAGGCGACUUUCUGGUCUGUAACUGACGCUGAUGUGCGAAAGCGUGGGGAUCAAACA
rnacentral:rRNA from 1 species